rnacentral:rRNA from 1 species
AUUGAACGCUGGCGGCCGGCCUAACACAUGCAAGUCGAGCGAGCGGCGGACGGGUGAGCAAUGUCUGGGAAACUGCCUGAUGGAGGGGGAUAACUACUGGAAACGGUAUCUAAUACCGCAUACCAUCAGAUGUGCCCAGAUGGUAUUAGCUAGUAGGUGGGGUAAUGGCUCACCUAGGCGACGAUCCCUAGCUGGUCUGAGAGGAUGACAAGCCACACUGGGACUGAGACACGGGCCAGACGCCGACGUGAGGCAGCAGUGGGGAAGAUUGCACAAUGGGCGCAAGCCUGAUGCAGCCAGGCCGCGUGUGUGAAGAAGGCCUUCGGGUUGUAAAGCACUUUCAGCGGGGAGGCGUUACCCGCAGAAGAAGCACCGGCUAACUCCGUGCCAGCAGCCGCGGUAAUUC